rfam:Heterocephalus glaber contig8059, whole genome shotgun sequence.
GGAUGUGAGGGCGGUCUGGCUGUGACGUCUGUCACCCCAUUGAUCGCCAGGGUUGAUCCGGCUGAUCUGGCUGGCGAGGCGGGUGGCCCCUUCCUCCCUCCCGGCUCCAUGUGCGUCCUUCCCGAAGCUGCGCGCUCGGUCGAAGAGGACGACCACCCCCAGUAGAGGACCGUUUCCUCGGUCAAGGGUAUACGAGUAGCUGCGCUCCCCUGCUAGAACCUCCAAACAAGCUCUCAAGAACUUGCCUAUUAUAAAAACAAAAACAAAAAAACCCAAAUACAUUGUACAACUAUACAAAAAUAUUUUUUCUUU